GUGCCAGCCGCCGCGGUAAUGCAUAGGGGGCAAGCGUUAUCCGGAAUUAUUGGGCGUAAAGGGUGCGUAGGUGGCCAUUUAAGUCUUUAGUGUAAGUGCAGUGCUCAACGCUGUGAUGCUAAAGAGACUGGGUGGCUUGAGUGUGGUAGAGGCAAGUGGAAUUCCAUGUGUAGCGGUAAAAUGCGUAAAUAUAUGGAGGAACACCAGUGGCGAAGGCGGCUUGCUGGGCCAUAACUGACACUGAGGCACGAAAGCGUGGGGAGCAAACAGGAUUAGAUACCCUGGUAGUCCACGCCGUAAACGAUGAGUACUAAGUGUUGGAGAAAUUCAGUGCUGUAGUUAACGCAAUAAGUACUCCGCCUGAGUAGUACGUACGCAAGUAUGAAACUCAAAGGAAUUGACGGGACCCCGCACAAGCGGUGGAUCAUGUUGUUUAAUUCGAUGAUACGCGAAGAACCUUACCAGGUCUUGACAUCCCUUGCAAAGCUCUAGAGAUAGAGUGGAGGUUAUCAAGGAGACAGGUGGUGCAUGGUUGUCGUCAGCUCGUGUCGUGAGAUGUUGGG
rnacentral:rRNA from 1 species